rnacentral:lncRNA from 1 species
CCAGAUCGAUGGCAUUAAGCCAUUUUGUGUGUCAGUAAUUAGACAGCAGGAACAACCUCUUCCCAGCGACGCCUAGAUUACAAGUGUUCAUGACAUCACACCUUCUCUCUGAAAGGAUCUGCUCCCCACUAAAUGAAAAGGAGGAAACCAGGAUUAGCUCCAAACAAAAAAAUUAACAUAAAUUAGCUCAGGGAGAAAAACGUAUUUAAAUGAAGUCUUCAAAGGCCUGGAAUUCUUUGAAUAAGAGGUGACCAGUGCUUUCAUGUGUAUGGUCUCCUUGACCUCUUUUUACAGGGGAAGAAACAAAGAAUCAGAGAGCACAUCCAGAAAAGCCUCUGGAACCACUCCCACAAGCUGAGGGUCUGCUGUAGAUCUCGCUUCCUUGGUGCUCACAAAGUUUCAUCAACUCCUGGGGGGCAGAUCUGUCAGCUUUUCCAAGGGAUUGGGUGACAUCCAAAUGUCAUGUUGGAAAGUACCACUUAGUAGUCUCUCUCUCCUGGAAUGAAAGAAUCUUUGAGUCAACAUGGGAACAUCACAUAUUCAACAGCUUCCCAAAGGCUUAAAUGUUGAUUUAUCUGUGUUGCUGGCCAACCCAGGCUCCUUGCUGACUUAGCACAUGGACUGGAGAGAAUCGUACCUUUUAGUCUGAAGAUCAGGAUCCAUAAUCUAAAGGAGCAAGAGGCAGCAGGAGACUCAUCCCCAAUAUCCUCUCUUAGUCUUCCAACUCAAAACUGGCCAACAGGACUGAACAAACCGAAAAUGUGAACACACAUUGCUUUGCAAGAUGCCAUUGAUGUCACAGCACAGCCAUUUGGAAAAAGUGAGAUAGGCCCUAGUUUUCCCUUCAAAUAACUAGUUCCAUAGCAAAAAAUAAAAAUUAGCAUUGUUUUUUUCUUUUUAAGACUACGUGACAGUAAACAACAAUUUGGCUAAGUUUUUUUUCCUAACAGAAUGUUUUUGAGUAUCAUGUAGUCAUUCCUGUAGUCAAAGCACAAAUUAGUCCACAGAGGUGACUAAUUUUUUUAAAAGUUGCAACUUUCCUUGGUAAUCUAUUCCUAAGCUUUACAAUUUUCUCUCCCAAGAAUUUAUUCCUCACGUUGGACCUGGACCAUUUCUCUCACAACUGUCUCUUCUUUUGUCUUCAGAAAAAAUAAAGAACAUUAUAUUACUAAAUACAAUGGUGUAGUAUACCUUUGCCUAAGUGAAAUAUUGGUCUGUUCCCUCAAAUUUCUCCCAUGCAACUCAAAUAAUCAUAAAAUCCUAAUUUCUUCAUCUCCUUCUUAUACGUUAUUGUUUAUACAUAGGUGCUAUCUGUUGUUUCCAAAGUUCUAAAUAGUUCUGACACUUGCGAUUCAGAAUUGGUGCUGUCUUCUCAAGUUCUUGGUCAAAGAUCUUCCGCCGAAAGCCUGAUUGAGGGCCACCUGGGCAGCAGCCAUCGACGUAUCUGGGAGGCCCCAGUCUCCUCUGAGCAUGGUGGUUAAGACUGUGGGAGUGGAGGCAGACCAAUCUGUGUUUGAAUUCCAGCUAUGCCAUUUACUGUUUGUUCAUACUUGGGUAGUAAUUAACAGCCCUGUGCUUAGGAAAUGAGGCUAGUAAUUGUACCUAUUUUGUAAAAUUUUUAUGAAGAUGGAAUGAGACAAAACCGUGAAAUAAUAGACACUUCGACAAUCAUGUUAGGGAUUGUUAGAAUAAAC